rnacentral:rRNA from 1 species
CGUGGGUAACCUGCCUUAUAGUGGGGGAUAGCCUUUCGAAAGGAAGAUUAAUACCGCAUAAGAUUGUAGUAUCGCAUGAUAUAGCAAUUAAAGGAGCAAUUCGCUAUAAGAUGGACCCGCAUCGCAUUAGCUAGUUGGUGAGGUAAUGGCUCACCAAGGCGACGAUGCGUAGCCGACCUGAGAGGGUGAUCGGCCACAUUGGGACUGAGACACGGCCCAGACUCCUACGGGAGGCAGCAUG